rnacentral:ncRNA from 1 species
AUAAUUUUGCCGCCGGGUGAAAUUUUUUAUAAGCGUUAGGUUCUCAUACCAUUAGGCCAUAGAAGGUAUGAGGGGCUAACGCUUAUUUUA